UGAGAGAGAGGGGGAGAGGUGAGAGGGAUGAGGAGAGAUUUUGCAGCAGAAGAGUGGAGAAAGAAAGGAGGGAAAAGGGUUAACCAGCAAGCGGCUGCCUAUUUGAUACCUGGAGCAAUUUAAUUGAUUACCGUUGGAUCAAUCUCAAUGGCUGAAACUAAACCCCUUCUGUAUCCAAGAAGAACAGGUCUCGCAACUCUAAAAACACACACACGAGGGAGGCAUCAAAGACCACGCCUCAGCCUUCUUCUUCUUCUUCUUUCUCGCAAUCUCUUCUCUCUCUACCACUUUUUCACUGUUAGAGUUAAUGAAUUCUACCCUUUUACCUGAUCGAGUCUGUAAUCGCCACUGUAAACUCUCAGGCUAGUUCUUCUCUGAUCAAGGCCAGGAGGCCGACCGAUGCUAAAUUGGAUUAUUCUCAGAUCACGGUUGAGCUUCGGACAGUUGAUGGGUUGUUGAAGGAUAGCACUCAAUGUGCUCCCAAUGGUUACUACUUCAUUACCGUAUAUGACAAGAUCAAGUCCUGAUAUGCCUGUAUUAUUGUUGAUCUUGG